UGCAUUUUUAGGACAACAAUUUUUAGAGUAUACCUCAUUAAUUGAAAGGAGGCAAUAUAGAUCAAGGAGAAGAGGCUAUUAUUGACAAUAUUAUAUUAUAAUGUAAAUCGAGGCAACAGCGAAUUAAGUGUGGAACAUUUUUUCACAAUUUUGAAGAUUGAUGAGCAAAGCAUCAUUUCUGUGCCUGAAGUUUUUACCUGAUACCGGUGCUACUCCUAACGAUGAUAGCAUAGCAUCCAAAUCUUUUCGAUGAUCCUUAUCAGCCCCCGCAGCUCGUACUGUUGCCUCUUCAACCUGUCAAUACACAAAGGCAAUAUUUUGGAAUUCAAUGCAGAAUUUAUGAUGUCCCGUUUAUGUACCGGAUGGCCUUUGAAUUGUACAUAAAAAAUAAAUGUUAAGGAUAUGCUAUCUUCUCAGUUUUAUCUAAGAGAUGGAUUAGCUACUAACAUUGCAAGCCG